UACUGCUCAGUAACACGUGGAUACCUGCCCUUGGGUCUGGGAUAACCCCGGGAAACUGGGGAUAAUACCGGAUAACGCAUAUAUGCUGGAAUGCUUUAUGCGUAAAAUGGAUUCGUCUGCCCAAGGAUGGGUCUGCGGCCUAUCAGGGUAGUAGUGGGUGUAAUGUACCUACUAGCCUACAACGGGUACGGGUUGUGAGAGCAAGAGCCCGGAGAUGGAUUCUGAGACAUGAAUCCAGGCCCUACGGGGCGCAGCAGGCGCGAAAACUUUACAAUGCGGGAAACCGUGAUAAGGGGACACCGAGUGCCAGCAUCAUAUGCCGGMWRWMMAGAUGUGUAAAAUACAUCUGUUAGCAAGGGCCGGGCAAGACCGGUGCCAGCCGCCGCGGUAACACCGGCGGCCCGAGUGGCGAUCGUGAUUAUUGGGUCUAAAGGGUCCGUAGCCGGUUUGGUCAGUCCUCCGGGAAAUCUGAUGGCUCAACCAUUAGGCUUUCGGGGGAUACUGCCAGGCUUGGAACCGGGAGAGGUAAGAGGUACUACAGGGGGAGGAGUGAAAUCUUGUAAUCCCUGKGAGACCACCUGUGGCGAAGGCGUCUUACCAGAACGGGUUCGACGGUGAGGGACGAAAGCUGGGGGCACGAWCCGGAUUAGAUACCCGGGUAGUCCCAGCCGUAAACGAUGCUCGCUUGUUUCAGGCAUGGCGCGACCGUGUCUGGUGCSGCAGGGAAGCCGUKAAGCGAGCCAC
rnacentral:rRNA from 1 species